UCCGUACAGAAACAAGAAGUCUACAAAUGACAGGUUGUACUAAAAUUAUACAUUUCUGCAAAACCACGGAUACGUUGAAUGUCACUGCAAAAAUAAAACAGUGACCCAGUUACGCAGCGUCACGUGACACGGGUCCCAUGAUAUCGUCGGUAAAAAUAACUAAACUUUUGGGAUCACACGGGACACGACCAGAGGUCUCCUGAGUGAAGGUCCUGUGCUUGUUUGACAAGAUCUUGCCCCAAACCCAGACUCUAAUGUUGCAUACAGUUCAGCCACUUCCUGAGAACACAAAGCUCACAGAUGAGACAUGUUUUUCUCUUCCCUCCCUGCAGACGUGUCCUCACGAUCAGCCCACAUUCGCUGCUCGACAGGUGGAAGCAGGUGGGAGAGGCGUGGGUGUCGUUCACUCGAGGGGUGAGAUUCGCCGUCCUCCCUCUGUUCCGAUUUCUGCUCCUGCGUUGGUACCGAUCUUCUUAAGACACACACCCCUCCAAAGGGCCGGACCAACUGCUUAUCUUACAGCAAGGAAGUGAGGAAGGAACCAUCAACACUGACACAAAGGGUGGGACGCUCACGAUAACACUGAGCUUUAUGACAUGGAAACAAAGCAGCUGGUGAGAGAAGGAGCUGCUCAGGAUGGUGCAAGGGUCAAGCAACGAAUGAGCUCUAUUUUCUUAUAAGGCUUCAAGACUAUAUUGAAUACUUGAACACCAAACAAAC
rnacentral:lncRNA from 1 species